AAGUACAAUUCUCUAUCGGAAAAAUAAUUGUAUACAAAUUCCUACCAACUGUAAUAAGAAACACAUUUCUAUGUACCCUUUUUGUUUUACCCUCCCAAGUCCAUCAAGAUCAGGGCCAUAUUUCCUGAUCUGAAGGAUGGCUCCUGAGACUGAGGUAAACCCCCUGGGAAAGAGGGACACGCCUGUAUUUGCAGACACACCUCUUAUCAAUGACCUCAUUCUAUACAGACUCACAGCCUGGUCUGUGUGACUAAUCAAAAAGCCUAUAAAACACUGGCCUCAGGUAAACCAGCUCUCCUUCACAUAGAGAGGGUCCUGGAAGAGUCACUGCACAUACUGCAUAUGUGGCGUGGUGACUGAUACUGGAGUGUGUUGUUGACAGCAGUCUCAAAAACAAAAUUAAGAACUUUGCUUUGAUCUCAUGGCUUUUACUAUAUGUUUCACUUACUGGGAAAUUAAUCUCAUAUGUCUCCUGGCCUGUCUUCUCUCACUGUCAUUUUACACGCUUUGCCCAUCACUACAUCAGUUAUGUGGUCUUUUCACUAUCACCUGGUUUCCUAUCUUGCUCACUGGACUGUAGUUUCUGUAUGGCAUCCCCAGUACCUAGCCCAGUGCCUGACACAUUGUGUGUAUAGAAUGAAGAAUGAGAAGUUUAACUUUGCAUGUGCUUUCCCUGUCUGUCCAAGUGAGUGUGCUACUGGGGGCAAAGGCCACUAUUCUGCAUCUUUUAUAUCACAGGGCCUGCCACACAGUACUCAAUGAAUCCAAUAAGAUUGAUGGGAACAGCUUCUUUUCACCAUGGUUGGGGUUUAUGCCAGGCAUAAAACAUGAUGAAAGUGCACUUUGAAGAAAAAGUCUUUUUUUUCCUUUGGGGAUGUAAACUGGCUUGUUUCCUGUCUCAGUUUGAAUCCAGGGACUGAGGCUAUAACCUAACUCAGGAGGCUCUUAGCUGCCUUCUCUCUUUUCCAACUGGAUAAAUAAUUUAGCCCAUUACAGUGCCAAGUCCUAGCUGCAGCGUUUCCAAGGAGGGGACACACUGGCCUCGGUUAACAGCACAGCUCUGCUGUUUCUGGGCCCUAUUUCAAUGUGGCACUCGGGUAGUGAGAGCUUUCUCAGCAUAACAAAAAGUGGAAUUUCCUAUUGUUGGGCAAGAAGGACUUAAAGAAGAGGAUUUAUCCAUAGGCGUUGAACCCAGCAACCCCCCCGUAAGCUUCUUUAGUUGGAGGGUUGGAAGAUGUGUUGCCUUUUCCCCCCUCAUCCUGAGGUUCGUGACCUGUGAGGAGCUAAACCACCACCCCUGGAGAGAGCCAAAGGUUGGGAGAAGAACAAUCACCAAAAAUGCAGAGUGGGGAGCAGGCCUGAGUGUUGGACCCCUCCUUAAACAAACCUUCCUGCAGCCUCCAGGUCACCAUCCUCAUCACCUCUACUACCAGAGACAUGGAGUGCCCUGAAGUCCUGGGCUUUCUGGGGAUUCUGUGGGAGCCAUCCUAUUGUUUUGAGUACUUCUGACCUUGGCUUCCAAUUCUGCAUGACUUUCCAUGGUGUGUCUAACAUAUCAUACCUUCCACUCCCAUGGAGAUGGACAUUCAGGACACCUGGACAUCCAACCACAAAGAACAUGCUGCCCCUCUGGACCUGCGUGAGAGCCGGAAAGGGAGACACCAGCCAUGGGGUUGUACGCUGACCUCCAUGGAGCUGUGGCUGCCCACCCCCCAGAGAGGUAGGAUGUUACCCAGAGUGCCCACCUGCCAGCACUCCCACUGCUGAGCUAUCCAUGCCCUAGUCCAGUGCAGCCUAGCAUAGUUUGCUAUAAAGUGAUGUGCCCAUGUUAUAUAAUUGUGCCUUUCUCUGACUGCUAAUGAUUUUAAGCCUCUCUUCAAUGAGCAUAUUGGCUUUUUGAGAUUCUGUUUGUGUCAAUUCCCUAUUCAUAUCCU